GGGUUGUGAGGUUAAGCGACUAAGCGUACACGGUGGAUGCCCUGGCAGUCAGAGGCGAUGAAGGACGUGCUAAUCUGCGAUAAGCGUCGGUGAGGUGAUAUGAACCGUUAUAACCGGCGAUUUCCGAAUGGGGAAACCCAGUGUGUUUCGACACACUAUCAUUAACUGAAUCCAUAGGUUAAUGAGGCGAACCGGGGGAACUGAAACAUCUAAGUACCCCGAGGAAAAGAAAUCAACCGAGAUUCCCCCAGUAGCGGCGAGCGAACGGGGAGGAGCCCAGAGCCUGAAUCAGUGUGUGUGUUAGUGGAAGCGUCUGGAAAGGCGCGCGAUACAGGGUGACAGCCCCGUACACAAAAAUGCACAUAUUGUGAGCUCGAUGAGUAGGGCGGGACACGUGGUAUCCUGUCUGAAUAUGGGGGGACCAUCCUCCAAGGCUAAAUACUCCUGACUGACCGAUAGUGAACCAGUACCGUGAGGGAAAGGCGAAAAGAACCCCGGCGAGGGGAGUGAAAAAGAACCUGAAACCGUGUACGUACAAGCAGUGGGAGCCUCUUAAUGGGGUGACUGCGUACCUUUUGUAUAAUGGGUCAGCGACUUAUAUUCUGUAGCAAGGUUAACCGAAUAGGGGAGCCGAAGGGAAACCGAGUCUUAACUGGGCGUUAAGUUGCAGGGUAUAGACCCGAAACCCGGUGAUCUAGCCAUGGGCAGGUUGAAGGUUGGGUAACACUAACUGGAGGACCGAACCGACUAAUGUUGAAAAAUUAGCGGAUGACUUGUGGCUGGGGGUGAAAGGCCAAUCAAACCGGGAGAUAGCUGGUUCUCCCCGAAAGCUAUUUAGGUAGCGCCUCGUGAAUUCAUCUCCGGGGUAGAGCACUGUUUCGGCAAGGGGGUCAUCCCGACUUACCAACCCGAUGCAAACUGCGAAUACCGGAGAAUGUUAUCACGGGAGACACACGGCGGGUGCUAACGUCCGUCGUGAAGAGGGAAACAACCCAGACCGCCAGCUAAGGUCCCAAAGUCAUGGUUAAGUGGGAAACGAUGUGGGAAGGCCCAGACAGCCAGGAUGUUGGCUUAGAAGCAGCCAUCAUUUAAAGAAAGCGUAAUAGCUCACUGGUCGAGUCGGCCUGCGCGGAAGAUGUAACGGGGCUAAACCAUGCACCGAAGCUGCGGCAGCGACACUAUGUGUUGUUGGGUAGGGGAGCGUUCUGUAAGCCUGUGAAGGUGUACUGUGAGGUAUGCUGGAGGUAUCAGAAGUGCGAAUGCUGACAUAAGUAACGAUAAAGCGGGUGAAAAGCCCGCUCGCCGGAAGACCAAGGGUUCCUGUCCAACGUUAAUCGGGGCAGGGUGAGUCGACCCCUAAGGCGAGGCCGAAAGGCGUAGUCGAUGGGAAACAGGUUAAUAUUCCUGUACUUGGUGUUACUGCGAAGGGGGGACGGAGAAGGCUAUGUUGGCCGGGCGACGGUUGUCCCGGUUUAAGCGUGUAGGCUGGUUUUCCAGGCAAAUCCGGAAAAUCAAGGCUGAGGCGUGAUGACGAGGCACUACGGUGCUGAAGCGACAAAUGCCCUGCUUCCAGGAAAAGCCUCUAAGCAUCAGGUAACAUCAAAUCGUACCCCAAACCGACACAGGUGGUCAGGUAGAGAAUACCAAGGCGCUUGAGAGAACUCGGGUGAAGGAACUAGGCAAAAUGGUGCCGUAACUUCGGGAGAAGGCACGCUGAUAUGUAGGUGAAGCGACUUGCUCGUGGAGCUGAAAUCAGUCGAAGAUACCAGCUGGCUGCAACUGUUUAUUAAAAACACAGCACUGUGCAAACACGAAAGUGGACGUAUACGGUGUGACGCCUGCCCGGUGCCGGAAGGUUAAUUGAUGGGGUUAGCGGUAACGCGAAGCUCUUGAUCGAAGCCCCGGUAAACGGCGGCCGUAACUAUAACGGUCCUAAGGUAGCGAAAUUCCUUGUCGGGUAAGUUCCGACCUGCACGAAUGGCGUAAUGAUGGCCAGGCUGUCUCCACCCGAGACUCAGUGAAAUUGAACUCGCUGUGAAGAUGCAGUGUACCCGCGGCAAGACGGAAAGACCCCGUGAACCUUUACUAUAGCUUGACACUGAACAUUGAGCCUUGAUGUGUAGGAUAGGUGGGAGGCUUUGAAGUGUGGACGCCAGUCUGCAUGGAGCCGACCUUGAAAUACCACCCUUUAAUGUUUGAUGUUCUAACGUGGGCCCCUUACCGGGGUUGCGGACAGUGUCUGGUGGGUAGUUUGACUGGGGCGGUCUCCUCCUAAAGAGUAACGGAGGAGCACGAAGGUUGGCUAAUCCUGGUCGGACAUCAGGAGGUUAGUGCAAUGGCAUAAGCCAGCUUGACUGCGAGCGUGACGGCGCGAGCAGGUGCGAAAGCAGGUCAUAGUGAUCCGGUGGUUCUGAAUGGAAGGGCCAUCGCUCAACGGAUAAAAGGUACUCCGGGGAUAACAGGCUGAUACCGCCCAAGAGUUCAUAUCGACGGCGGUGUUUGGCACCUCGAUGUCGGCUCAUCACAUCCUGGGGCUGAAGUAGGUCCCAAGGGUAUGGCUGUUCGCCAUUUAAAGUGGUACGCGAGCUGGGUUUAGAACGUCGUGAGACAGUUCGGUCCCUAUCUGCCGUGGGCGCUGGAGAACUGAGGGGGGCUGCUCCUAGUACGAGAGGACCGGAGUGGACGCAUCACUGGUGUUCGGGUUGUCAUGCCAAUGGCACUGCCCGGUAGCUAAAUGCGGAAGAGAUAAGUGCUGAAAGCAUCUAAGCACGAAACUUGCCCCGAGAUGAGUUCUCCCUGACUCCUUGAGAGUCCUGAAGGAACGUUGAAGACGACGACGUUGAUAGGCCGGGUGUGUAAGCGCAGCGAUGCGUUGAGCUAACCGGUACUAAUGAACCGUGAGGCUUAACCUUACAACGCCGAAG
rnacentral:rRNA from 1 species